GAUGAACGCUGGCGGCGUGCCUAAUACAUGCAAGUCGAGCGAACGGACGAGAAGCUUGCUUCUCUGAUGUUAGCGGCGGACGGGUGAGUAACACGUGGAUAACCUACCUAUAAGACUGGGAUAACUUCGGGAAACCGGAGCUAAUACCGGAUAAUAUUUUGAACCGCAUGGUUCAAAAGUAAAAGACGGUCUUGCUGUCACUUAUAGAUGGAUCCGCGCUGCAUUAGCUAGUUGGUAAGGUAACGGCUUACCAAGGCAACGAUGCAUAGCCGACCUGAGAGGGUGAUCGGCCACACUGGAACUGAGACACGGUCCAGACUCCUACGGGAGGCAGCAGUAGGGAAUCUUCCGCAAUGGGCGAAAGCCUGACGGAGCAACGCCGCGUGAGUGAUGAAGGUCUUCGGGUCGUAAAACUCUGUUAUUAGGGAAGAACAUAUGUGUAAGUAACUGUGCACAUCUUGACGGUACCUAAUCAGAAAGCCACGGCUAACUACGUG
rnacentral:rRNA from 1 species